CGGCAACAGCUCAAAUUUGAAAUCUGGCCCUAGGCCCGAGUUGUAAUUUGCAGAGGAUGCUUUUGGUGAGGUGCCUUCCAAGUUCCCUAGAACGGGACGCCAGAGAGGGUGAGAGCCCCGUACAGUUGGACACCAAGCCUUUGUAAAGCUCCUUCGAC
rnacentral:rRNA from 1 species